rnacentral:rRNA from 1 species
GACGAACGCUGGCGGCGUGCUUAACACAUGCAAGUCGAACGGAAAGGCCCUGCUUUUGUGGGGUGCUCGAGUGGCGAACGGGUGAGUAACACGUGAGUAACCUGCCCUUGACUUUGGGAUAACUUCAGGAAACUGGGGCUAAUACCGGAUAGGAGCUCCUGCUGCAUGGUGGGGGUUGGAAAGUUUCGGCGGUUGGGGAUGGACUCGCGGCUUAUCAGCUUGUUGGUGGGGUAGUGGCUUACCAAGGCUUUGACGGGUAGCCGGCCUGAGAGGGUGACCGGCCACAUUGGGACUGAGAUACGGCCCAGACUCCUACGGGAGGCAGCAGUGGGGAAUAUUGCACAAUGGGCGGAAGCCUGAUGCAGCAACACCGCGUGCGGGAUGACGGCCUUCGGGUUGUAAACCGCUUUCGCCUGUGACGAAGCGUGAGUGACGGUAAUGGGUAAAGAAGCACCGGCUAACUACGUGCCAGCAGCCGCGGUGAUACGUAGGGUGCGAGCGUUGUCCGGAUUUAUUGGGCGUAAAGGGCUCGUAGGUGGUUGAUCGCGUCGGAAGUGUAAUCUUGGGGCUUAACCCUGAGCGUGCUUUCGAUACGGGUUGACUUGAGGAAGGUAGGGGAGAAUGGAAUUCCUGGUGGAGCGGUGGAAUGCGCAGAUAUCAGGAGGAACACCAGUGGCGAAGGCGGUUCUCUGGGCCUUUCCUGACGCUGAGGAGCGAAAGCGUGGGGAGCGAACAGGCUUAGAUACCCUGGUAGUCCACGCUGUAAACGGUGGGUACUAGGUGUGGGGUCCAUUCCACGGGUUCCGUGCCGUAGCUAACGCUUUAAGUACCCCGCCUGGGGAGUACGGCCGCAAGGCUAAAACUCAAAGGAAUUGACGGGGCCCCGCACAAGCGGCGGAGCAUGCGGAUUAAUUCGAUGCAACGCGUAGAACCUUACCUGGGUUUGACAUGGAUCGGGAGUGCUCAGAGAUGGGUGUGCCUCUUUUGGGGUCGGUUCACAGGUGGUGCAUGCCUGUCGUCAGCUCGUGUCGUGAGAUGUUGGGUUAAGUCCCGCAACGAGCGCAACCCUUGUUCACUGUUGCCAGCACGUUAUGGUGGGGACUCAGUGGAGACCGCCGGGGUCAACUCGGAGGAAGGUGGGGAUGACGUCAAGUCCUCAUGCCCCUUAUGUCCAGGGCUUCACGCAUGCUACAAUGGCUGGUACAGAGAGUGGCGAGCCUGUGAGGGUGAGCGAAUCUCGGAAAGCCGGUCUCAGUUCGGAUUGGGGUCUGCAACUCGACCUCAUGAAGUCGGAGUCGCUAGUAAUCGCAGAUCAGCAACGCUGCGGUGAAUAAGUUCCCGGGGCU